rnacentral:lncRNA from 1 species
GAACAAGCACAAUGAAAUCUUAAGGUAUCUUGGAGGGCCCCUGUCUAUUGCAGUCUAUCUCCCUUUUUAUAGUAGAGAGUCAUUACUUUAUCUAUAACAACAUAAUAAAAUAAUACAUAUAGUGGAGAACCCAUGAUGGUUUGUCUCUCCCUUGAUUCUCGCCAAGAUUCUCUCCAUUGGUGCGGUUGUAACGGCUCUUGUCUGCGAGCUUGACACUGACUCGAGCUUGGUGCUAGAUCGAAUCCCCAAUCUUAGUUCGAGCUCGGUUCUGCCUUGGAGCAUCGAUAUUCGGGGCCUGUGUCGAUCGGCGUUACCCCGUAGUCCGAUUCGGACACGGGCUCGAUAAUGAUAUCGAGUUUUGCCGUUGAUUGGUCUUAUAGCUCGAAGCUCGACAUCUCUACUUCAGAAUUUGUCCGAGCUCGCCAUGUGGAUACCCUUCGAUUGAAACGUCAUUGUCUCGACCGGUUUUUAUGACUGAGAAUUGGUUUUGACCAUACACAACAAUGUUAAUCAAGCAUUACUUAUCUUCUGGAAAAAAUAAUUUAGCUUUUAAAGGGUAUAAAAAAAAAUAAUUUUUGUCCUUUUAUAAUAAUAUAAAUAUUCAUAAAUAGGUAUAGAUAGAGAUUCGAUGAAUCUAACAAGAUUUUGAUUUUCCAAAAAUAUACUACUAAUUAUCUAAAUAAGAUAAUUAUAUAAGAUAAAGAGACAAUUAUAAAAGAUAAAGAUAAUGUUGAGGUUCAGGGAAACAAAUCACGAAAUUUUAAUACAUGCCUUCUCCAAAACCAAUUGUUAUUUCAUUCACUCGGUUAAAUUUGUAUUCUAUCACAACUUUGUAUUUUUAACGUGUAAUGUGUCCAAUUAUGUCCUUUUCUUAUUUGCUUGUAAUAUAAAUAAUUAAGGGAAUAAAAGUCGUUCAAUAUUUUAAGAAUAUUUUGAUCGUUCAAUAUUUAUUGUUAAACAUUCGUAUUUUUAUAAUAAUAUAGAUAGAUAUAGAUAAAUAUAGAUAGAUAUAUAGAUAUAGAUAUAGAUAGAUUAGUACUAGUACUAGGCUAAGAAUUUGUUCAGAAAUUUUCAAUUUAUUCCUAUAAAAAAAGAAAUUAAAUAUUUUCAGGUGUUAUUGAAAAAACGAAAACCAAAAAAAGAUAAGAGAGAAACAAUGUUUUCUAUAGUACACAGACAAAUAGAGAGAGAUGUUUUUCUUUCAAAAUAAAAAAAAUACAGUAAUUUAGAAAUAACAGAGGUGGGUCCCAAAAAAAUUAAGUUUUUUAAAACUAAAUAAAUAUAAUCUGGAAAAAGUAAGAGGAUAUGGGGUCCACAUAAAUCCAGCUGUCAAAGGGAAAUGUCCUAUUAUUAGCUAUUUGUAUAACUGGUUGGUUUAGCUACUGCAUUAAGUCCACGGAAAUUAGUUAUGCUUCAUCUCCUGGAAAAAUAAGAGAAAGAAAGAGUGAAAUUUACUUUGCAAUAUGUGAUCUUGAAUCAAUACAAAGUCUUUUGACUCUCAAGUUUUUUUCUUUUAUAAUGGUACGUACUUUCUUUACUUCUUAACACAUAUUAGUCAAACAUACAAAACCAUUCCCAAAUUAUUUAGUACAACUAAAACCUAUUGGAAAUAGUUAAUAAGCAAAAGGGUUAAAGUAUCCCUAACGUAUUGAAAAUGACUCAUAAAUACCUCUGCUUCGAUUUGCUUCACCUUCACCUUAAUUAAUAUUCACGCCUUCUAGGAUAUCCAUAGUUUCAGAUGAUGACAGUAUGGUCUUCAUCUUGUCAAGGUUAUGACCGGACUCAAGCGGCUCGGGUUAUAAUAAGAAAAUGUGUGGGUAAAAUCUAAUUGUAAAUAAUACACGUGGCAAGUUUAGAAAAAGUCAUGUGGAUAUUUUAAAGAUCCAAAUUUAUCCAUGCUUGGUCUGUUAGUUUCAUGAGUAUAUUUAAAUUCAAAAAAUAUUUUAGGAGUAUAUUUAGACCAAAAGGUUAACGAAUGGUAUUUAUAAGCCAUUUUCAAUACGUUAUGGACAUUUUUGACCCUUUUUCAUGGUUAAUAUUGGCGGGCACAUUAUUCACAAUUUUUAUGGAGAAACAUUCAAAGAGGGGGAAAAAUUGAAAUAUGUCGUCUUUGUGUUAUUAAACAUGAUCUCAAUUAGUGUCAAUUAAAAUAACCAAAAAAUAAUUCCUCAUAGGCGAUAUUGAAGAAAGAAAAAGUAAGGAAACUUACGAUGUUUAGAGGCAGUAACAUCAAUUAUUCCCAGAAGGUAGGUAACUAGCAAUCCAAAACCUAUACGUAUAUAGCCAAAGACUUAAACAUUAAUUAUGUUAGAUAUAAUAAAGAAGAAAGCUAAAUUAGGCAGUUAAUUACUUUCAACUAGAAUACCAAUCCAUACUAGCUAGACAGAAAAACAUACAUUUAUCAUAUGUUCAGAACAACAGAUAAGAUACAUUUAUCACAUUUGAGCGUUUGAGCUAAGGUGGAAUUAUUUGUUCUAUCUUGUGAGAUAUCAUAUACCUAAGUAGGAAUUAAUUCCAAAAAGAAAUAUACCUAAGUAGGAUAGCAGAAUAAGCCAAUUAAGCAGGAUAAAUUGAAUCAUAUACCAUCUAAUUUAUGUUCGUAACCAAAUAUAACGAUUUAAAGACUAAAACAAAUAUUGUGAUUUAAACCUAAUGUGAUAUUGUAGUAUACCAAUAUAUACACACUUCUCUGAGUAAACAACGAGUUUCAUUGUCUAGAAGAAAAAAGAAAAGAAAAGAGGAAGAGAAAUGUAAAACCUGUUGUCCAAAGGAUUGGCCUAGUAAUUAAUUAAGAAGUAUGAGGUCUUGUGUUCAAAUUCUAGUUAAGGCAAAAAUACAAAGUAAUUUAUUCCCGUCUGUUCAAGUCUUAGUGAACAGAGUUAUCCGAUACUUGUAUUGGUGAAAGGUCUGACACCCCCAUAAAAUUAGAGGCCAACACAAGUUGGCUUGAAUAACAUAGCUAUAGAAUAAAAUUAUAAAACCUGCUCAUGGACAAGAAAAAUAGAUAAAUAAAAUGGUACGUAAUAUAUAGGAAGUGAUAUUGGCACGGCUCAAUCUGAGAUCGUUUUUUACGAAAACAAAACGUAAACACGUCUUCGGAUUGAACCUCACCAACAUCGCUUCCUUUAAUUUACUUGACAUAAUUGACAUGGUGAAGUGUUUCUUUUCUUUGAGUCAAACUUAGGCCUUUUUUAUUUGGCUGCUGUUUGACCACAAAAAAAGUGGAUAUGUGAAAAGCCAAUAUCAAAAGAAAGAAUAUACAUUAGCUCCAUAUUGGGUUCGAAUACUCUGAUAAAGAAAUGGAUUUUAGGUUUCACUCCAGAUGUGAGAAUUACCCGAGACUAUAUAACGAGAUCAAAGGACCAACACCCCAGCAUGCCCUAGCAAUUGGAGCAUGAAAAAUAUAAUAUAGUGAGAGGGGGAGGGGGCAACAUCGGGGUUGAAACAAGAAUUAGGUAGACUUGACUUUGACACCAUGAUAAAAAAAGUAAACUUUGAGCCUAACUCAAUCGCAAAGAUGAUUGAACAAAGGAUCUAACACCGAUCGAUGUGGGAUAUCGAACAGAAUCAGAAGAUGGAGGAGAACAUGACCUAUAAUAAGGUAAAAGAUUGCCCCAUGGCCUAGUUCAAGUGGCAAAAGGUGGUGGAUUUGUGUCUUAGGUCACAGGUUCAAGCCUCACACCAUGCAAAGCAAAGCCUAGUAUUUAAGUAGAGAAGGGUAGAGGGACGGGCCCAUUAUCCAACGAGUUUCGAAGGCUGCGGUUGGUCCAAAGGAUUGGCCCAGACAGAUUUCUCGGUCAUCAAAAAAACAAGAUGAGCUAUAUGAAUCAGUAUAUAGAGAUUAACUUAUCUAAAUUCUAUCAAAAGACAUGAGAAAGCUCAAAACCUAAUAUAUAGCUCCAGGGUUC